rnacentral:SRP_RNA from 1 species
GCUGGGCGGGUGGCACAUGCCUGUAGUCCCCAUUACUUGGGAGGCUGAGGUGGGAGGAUUACUUGAGCCUAGGAGUUCAAGGCUGUAGUGAGCUAUGAUCCUGUCACUGUACUCCAGCCUGGGCAACAGAGUAAGACCCUGUCUCUU